AAAACGACUCUCGGCAACGGAUAUCUCGGCUCUCGCAUCGAUGAAGGACGUAGCGAAAUGCGAUACUUGGUGUGAAUUGCAGAAUCCCGUGAACCAUCGAGUCUUUGAACGCAAGUUGCGCCCCAAGCCUUCUGGCCGAGGGCACGUCUGCCUGG
rnacentral:rRNA from 1 species